AUUGAACGCUGGCGGCAUGCCUUACACAUGCAAGUCGAACGGCAGCACGGGAGCAAUCCUGGUGGCGAGUGGCGAACGGGUGAGUAAAGUAUCGGAACGUGCCCAGUCGUGGGGGAUAACGUAGCGAAAGUUACGCUAAUACCGCAUACGAUCUAUGGAUGAAAGCGGGGGAUCGCAAGACCUCGCGCGAUUGGAGCGGCCGAUAUCAGAUUAGGUAGUUGGGGGGGUAAAGGCUCACCAAGCCGACGAUCUGUAGCUGGUCUGAGAGGACGACCAGCCACACUGGGACUGAGACACGGCUCAGACUCCUACGGGAGGCAGCAGUGGGGAAUUUUGGACAAUGGGCGAAAGCCUGAUCCAGCCAUGCCGCGUGCAGGAUGAAGGCCUUCGGGUUGUAAACUGCUUUUGUACGGAACGAAAAGGUUUGGGCUAAUAAGCUGAGCUCAUGACGGUACCGUAAGAAUAAGCACCGGCUAACUACGUGCCAGCCGCCGCAGUAA
rnacentral:rRNA from 1 species